rnacentral:rRNA from 1 species
CGUAGGGGGCAAGCGUUGGUCCGGAUUUAUUGGGCGUAAAGAGCGUGUGAGGCGGCUUGGUAGGUCCGCUGUGAAAACUCGAGGCUCAACCUCGAGAUGUCGGCGGAAACCACUUGGCUAGAGUCCGGAAGAGGAGAGUGGAAUUCCUGGUGUAGCGGUGAAAUGCGCAGAUAUCAGGAAGAACACCAAUGGCGAAGGCAGCUCCUCGUGGGACGGUACUGACGCUGAGACGCGAAAGCGUGGGGAGCGAACAGG